CCUACGGGUGGCAGCAGUGAGGAAUAUUGGGCAAUGGACGAAAGUCUGACCCAGCAACGCCGCGUGGAGGAUGAAUGCCGUAAGGUUGUAAACUCCUUUUGAAGGGGACGAAAAAUUCCGCUAACAUCGGAACUUGACUGUACCCUUAGAAGAAGCCCCGGCUAACUACGUGCCAGCAGCCGCGGUAAUACGUAGGGGGCAAGCGUUGUCCGGAUUAACUGGGUGUAAAGGGGGCGUAGGCGGACUUGUAGAAAUCUCCCGGCUUAACCGGGAAACUGCCUUUGAUACUGCAAGUCUUGAGUUCGGAAGAGAGUAGCGGAAUUCCAGGUGUAGUGGUGAAAUACGUAGAUAUCUGGAAGAACACCAGUGGCGAAGGCGGCUACUUGGUCCGUAACUGACGCUGAGGCGCGAAAGCGUGGGGAGCAAACAGGAUUAGAUACCCGGGUAGUC
rnacentral:rRNA from 1 species